rnacentral:rRNA from 1 species
CGAAAGCCUGACGGAGCAAGACCGCGUGAGGGAGGAAGGCUCUUGGGUUGUAAACCUCUUUUCUCAGGGAAGAAGCUCUGACGGUACCUGAGGAAUCAGCCUCGGCUAACUCCGUGCCAGCAGCCGCGGUAAUACGGAGGAGGCAAGCGUUAUCCGGAAUUAUUGGGCGUAAAGCGUCCGCAGGCGGCUAGAUAAGUCUGCUUUUAAAGAAUGGGGCUCAACCCCGUAUAGGGAGUGGAAACUGUUUAGCUAGAGUAUGGUAGGGGCAGAGGGAAUUCCCAGUGUAGCGGUGAAAUGCGUAGAUAUUGGGAAGAACACCAGUGGCGAAGGCGCUCUGCUGGACCAAAACUGACGCUGAUGGACGAAAGCUAGGGGAGCG